UUUUGAAAUUCCUUUUGUGCGUUCUCUUUGUCAAAAAAGAACAAAAUCUAAGCGUUUCUCCUCAACCGUGUAGAUAGCUAAAACCCCUUUCUUUUCAGUUCCCAUUUAAACCCUAAAUUCCUAAUAGCAAAAUCUAAGCAACAAAGCAAUGGCAGAGGGGGAAGGAGAAGAAAAGAAGAAAUUUUCAAUCUGGGAUUUGCCAGAUGUGCCAAUGGGUCAACUUCCGCCGCAUCUUGAACUCCAACGAAGUCGUGUUUCAUGCAAUAAGGACGCCCCUAUCCAUACUGAGAGUAUUCAAUAUUCUGGCGCUUAUGCAUCGAUGGGAAUUGAUAAUAGUUCAUGACUUGACCGAUUCUCUAACAACUUUAGAGUUGAAGUGGUUCGACUCAAUGAAGAUGACAUGGAGUUUGAUAUGAUCGGGUCUUACAUGGUUAACUGGUCUCCAAAGUUACAGACUGCUGUUUCUGACUUGACGGAGAAAGCAUUUCUCAAACACCCCAAGGUGUUUUUAAGUGGUCCAAAACUUGUAGGAUAUGAGUGAAAGAGUGAGGCAAAAAUGUUCACAUAGUGAGGAAAAAUAUCAGACAAACAUUAGUUUGGCGACACUCGAUAGUGGAUGUUUGAAUUCAGCUACAGUUUGUGGAGUUGAUUGGACAACCUUGCCUGAUGAUACAGUUAUUCAACUCUUCUCUUAUUUGAAUUAUUGAGAUCGAGCUAGUUUGGCAUCAACUUGUCGAACAUUUAGGCUCUUAGGUUCUUUGCCCUGUUUAUGGGGGUCACUGGACCUCCGAUCUUACAAAUUUGAUACUGUAGCUACAGUCUCACUCUCCUUGCGAUGCAAGAAUCUCCAGAGACUUAAAUUUCCUGCAGCAGGCUCAGCAGAUGCAAUAGUUAGUCUUCAAGCAAGGAACUUCGAGAAAUAAGUGGUAUAUCAGGAAGUGCAUGAAAAAGUCAGAGAUGCCGUAAUUGCCCUUAUUGAUAAAGAACGUGAGGGAGAACAGAUAGACCGAGCAUUAUUGAAGAAUGUCUUGGGUAUUUUUGUUGAGAUUGGCAUGGGACAAAUGGAUCGUUAUGAGGAUGAUUUUGAAGAAGCCAUGCUUCAGGAUACUUUAUUACCAAGAUUUCCUUGAUUAAGUAAAUGUAUUAUAUCUUUUAUUACCAAGAUUUACUUGAUUAAGAAAAUGCAUUGUAUAUUUUAUUACCUUGCAUAUGUAUUAUUUAUUUUAGUUUUGAUUCUAAAUUUUUAUUUUUA